CAGAAGCAGCAGCACAUUGUCAACUUAGGCGGUGAUCCUCUGGGGGCCAUGCUAGGGAUCGACAUGUUCUCUGUGAAGGAGCCACUGAGGGGAAUCCACCGGUCAUUGGAGAGGAAGGGGGCCAGGUUCGGCCAAAGAGGAAGAGGAGGAAGGGUGCGUCCACGGCACCACUGCCGACCUACCCGCCAGCUUACUGGACCCUUGCUUCAUGUGUCAGAGCCGUCCCAAGAACGGAUGCAUCGUGCACGGGGCAACCAUCCAC